UUUCGGGUUGUCCAUCUGGAUCCCUACAUAAACUUCAGUUAGUACAAAAUGCAGCUGCCAGAGUUCUCACAAAAACUAAAAAAUUUGAUCACAUUAGCCCUAUCCUGUCCUCCCUGCACUGGCUACCAGUCAAGUCUAGGAUUGACUACAAAUUACUGCUAUUAACCUACAAAGCUCCGAAUGGCCUUGCACCACAGUAUCUUAAUGAUCUUCUGGUUCCUUACAACCCUUCUCGCCUGCUUCGAUCACAAGGAGCAAGAUAUCCUAUUAGUUCCUAAAGUAGACAGGGCUGCGGCAGGCUGCAGAGCAUUCUCUUGGUCUCCCGGGGGAUGUGCGGGAUUCAGGCACACUCUCGCUUUUCAAGUCUAGAUUAAAAACGCACUUGUAUAGCUUAGCAUAUAGGAAACCUAGUUCUGGUUCCAGCUAGUCCCUCACUCCCAGUCAGACUAACAGUAUGAGGUGAAGAGCUGGGUGGGGAUCGGUGUCAUUGGCUUUGGAUAAACUGAUGCGUCAGUGCUGUCACUCUAGCUUUAAACUAGAGUGCUGAUGUUCAGGGAGUCCCCAUGCCUGUGUUCCGCCUGUCUCUCCCUCUUUCUCAUGCUGCUAUAGCCAGAUCUGCCGGAGCCUAGAUGAAUAUUGCACUCGAACAUUUUGCUUGCAUUGCCUCUGGUUUCCUCAGCUCUGGCUAAUACACUAUUUUCUUACUUCCUCCUUCACCCCUUCUGGGGUGUGCUGCCUGGAGAACCAUGUCAUCGAAGAAUUUAUGCCUCUGCUGCCUGCAAGACUACUACCUCCACCUCCGGCAACUACCCUACAACCUGCCUGCCCUUGGCGCACGCGAUGAGUCUCCAUCCUUCCCUGCGGCUGUGCCACUGUUGAUCUUGCAAUCAUGCAUCAAGCACCCCGUGCCUGCACCGGUCGGCCGCUGCAUUCUACAGACACAUGGACUGUCAAGCAGCCCGGGCAUACACUCUGACCUCUGUGACCUGGCGUGAAGUGGAGUGGCAAAAAAGAGGCAGCUGUGUUCCCCAAAUGUUAGAGAGAGAGAAAGAGAGAGAACACAGCAUGGAUCAUAAUGGUGCAUUUAUCUCAGGCACCUGCUUUUGGAGCUGUGCUACAACUGUGCUGUCAUUACUGUCGAAAUGAGGCAAAGAUCCUUCUGAACACAUGAAUCAGUUACCUGGACAUUAUGACCGUGAUGUAAAAUAUGGCUGCCCCCGUGGAGAACAGUGAAAAAGGAGCCAGUGGGCUAAUUUAAACAAAUUGGAAUGACAAGCCCACAGAAAUAUUUUGCUGUUUGUCUCAAACUGCAUAAGCACUUGAUGUUACUGUCCUGACAGCGACAUGUUACAUGCCAGUCUAACCCAGUCGAAACACAAUUUAACAAUCAAGAACAAUCAAGGGUGAUUUGCGUAUCUGUGUGUGCAAAGGCUACUUGGAAAGUCGAUGGUAAAUGUUUUGUUGCAGGUACUAGAUAUGUUUGUUAAUAUUUGUUAAAAGUGUCAUUUGAGGUGCAAUUUUACAAUAUGUUCAUGUUCAUUUUCAUUUUGAACUGUAAGAAUUGCAUGCAGGUACUCAUAAUAUUAUGGUUAAGACUACAGAUUUAAAACUUUUACAGAGAUUUGUCAUGGGUUGUUCCCUGGCUUGUGCCUGUAGCCUCCGAGAUAGACUCCAGAUCCCCGUGACUCCAAAUAGGACAAGCAGUUACAGAAAAUGGAUGGAUGGAUGACCUUCAACACAAUACUUAACUGUUUCAUAAAAUCAAAUAUCUUUCAACUCUUUCAAUAUAAAUGAAUAAAUGGAAAGUAUUCUUUUAAUAGCCUAGGAUCAAAAUAAACUUAAUAUGUUACCGAAAUGGCUUGUUUUAUUGAUACAACCACUUCUUGUUUAGAAACUACCUGUUAGCGACCAUUUGCAUUUUCCAACCCAUGUGCACAUUUAUGACUCAAUUCUG